rnacentral:rRNA from 1 species
AUUGAACGCUGGCGGCAGGCCUAACACAUGCAAGUCGAGCGGAUGAAGGGAGCUUGCUCCUGGAUUCAGCGGCGGACGGGUGAGUAAUGCCUAGGAAUCUGCCUGGUAGUGGGGGAUAACGUCCGGAAACGGGCGCUAAUACCGCAUACGUCCUGAGGGAGAAAGUGGGGGAUCUUCGGACCUCACGCUAUCAGAUGAGCCUAGGUCGGAUUAGCUAGUUGGUGGGGUAAAGGCCUACCAAGGCGACGAUCCGUAACUGGUCUGAGAGGAUGAUCAGUCACACUGGAACUGAGACACGGUCCAGACUCCUACGGGAGGCAGCAGUGGGGAAUAUUGGACAAAGGGCGAAGGCCUGAUCCAGCCAUGCCGCGUGUGUGAAGAAGGUCUUCGGAUUGUAAAGCACUUUAAGUUGGGAGGAAGGGCAGUAAGUUAAUACCUUGCUGUUUUGACGGUACCAACAGAAUAAGCACCGGCUAACUUCGUG